AUGUGUUGGGGGAAAGUGGGAGGAAGUUUGUCACCCGUUUUAAUAUCUGAAAUUCCUUUACGUGGGUGGUAACUGGGGAACAGCUGCAGGUAGCUGAGUCAUAGCCCAAAUCCUAGCAAAAAAAAAAAAAAGAAGAAGAAAGAAAGAAAGAAAGAAAGAAUAAAGAAAAGAAAAACUGCUAGUGGGACCCCCGCCAGCAACUGAGCAAAGGCUUCUCAAGCUGGAACUCAGCAAGUCACACUGGCCCAAAGAUGAAGAAGGCCACCCUCCUCUGGACUGUCUGCUGGAAGGAAGGCAUGGCGACCAGAGGGAGCCUGGAUUGCCCUGGCUUCGGGUUCUGAGCUAAAUCAUUGAGUGACUGCAGAUGGGACCUCUCACCUCCCUGGGCCUCUUGCUUCCUCAUUUCCAUCUAGAGGCCACAGGUCCACCAGGAAUACAGUGUCUGGCUUUCAUGACCCUUGGGAACACAGCAGAAAGAACCUGGACUUCAUUCCUCUUACGUUUAAGAAGACAAAGUAGAGCCAUGGCUCUUAGGAAGAAUGUUCCAAACAUUAUUACCAUACAGCUCACCCCAGUCUCAACCUCCACCAACUUCAAGCCCAACCUGAAGCUACACUCGAUUCAAUGAAAUGUGUAUUUUCCAAAUUAUGUUUUCUUCAAGGGCCGAGCUGGCUGUAGAAGGAGACACAGUGGGAAAGCAUGCCUGCAAGAGCUCAUGGUGUGUCUUCUGCUUCUACAUGCUGCCCUCCUCCAUCCAUCUGAAGGUGCUGCCCCUCCCAGUGGCUGUGCUGGGCUUGUGAGUUUGUGUAAUGCCCGUGUCUGGUUGCUUCAGAGAAUCCGCUACUGGCGUAUCAUGGACUCUGUAGGAAAUGAAGCCAUUGUAGAAAUCAGAGUGGUUUUGAUCAUUCUUCUACAACACAGCCACUCGAGAUGAAGAAUUGCAUGGUCCAAAAGGAUGAAGGGCAAGCCCCCUUCCAAAUAACAAUGCAAAGGUCUGGGUCCUUCCAUCUUCUGAUUACUCCAGCUUGGAGUCUUCGCCCUCCAAUCACAAGAACAGGAAUUUGCAAGAUACUUCACUGCAAGGUGAUGGAUGUCACUUCAGUCCAUGUUCCAGGACCGAGCAUAGCACAAUUGCAAGGAAGACUGGGUACUGUGUAUAGGUCUGACCACUAGCCUGCAAGGAAGACUGGGCACUGUGUAUAGGUCUGACCACUAGCCUACAUACCUCACUGUGGGCUCCAGAGGGGUCAUCUGUGCUCCUAUAGCCUUACCUCCUUCUCUGAAAAAUGGGGAUAAUAGCCCCCAGCCUGUAGAGUUCCUGUGUGAUUAUUACUAUUGUAACUAACUUGACAGACUUUAGAAUCACUAGGAGACAAACCUGCGGAUACAACCAUGAGAGAGAUUCUAGACUAGGUAAAUCCAGGUGGGAAAAUGCACUCUAAGGACUGGAAUCCUGUACAGAAUAAAAAGAGAGAGAGAAAGAAAGAAAGCCGACUGCACAGGAGUGUUCAGAGCUUUCUGCUUCCUGACUGUGUGUAUAAUGUGACCAGUUGCCUCAAGCUCCUGGUCCUGCUGUGACUUCUCCACCAUCAUGGAUUGUCAUCCCUCAAACUGUGAGCCCAAAUGAACCUUCCCCAAGUUGAUUUUGUAAGGUACUUUCUCACAGUAUUUUCUCUCAUGAGAAAAUCAACUCGUGUAGUGAUCUUGUGAGGCUCAAAGGGGAUCUACUUCUGAAGAUACCUAACAGUACAAUGCCAGGCACAGAGGGGAGUCACAGGAGUGCUCCCCUACUCCUCCCCUCCCCUAGCAGUUUCUUCUUAGGCCCAUGGGGAAAGACUAGGCAGCAUCAGCCACAGAUGGUUUCAAUUGGGUAAACCAGGAUAUGCAGAUUCCUUGCUGGUCUUCUCAAGACAAAUUAGUACCAUGUCACUGCUGGAAAAGGACAGGUCCUCCUAGGCCAUUCUGAGUUCUUCCUGAUGUUUUGUGUCUGGGUCACAAGAACAAAGGAAACUGCCUAUGAGUGCUAGGGUGCUGAAUUUUAAAGCUAUGGCAGUUGACUCAGUAUCUCUCCUGAGCUACACACACACACACACACACACACACACACACACACACACACACACACACACGGAGGAGGUGUGGCCUCCAGAUUAGAAACCCAGUGCCAGGAGCUGACUCAGUGAGCCUUUGUUUAUUGGGGAAGCUGGAGGUGGGUGGAGGUUGUGUGUACAGAUGGGAUCUCUCUGACUCAAGUCUCUAAGGUGUUGACAUCCAGGACUUCGGGAAGCGCUGUUUAGAGAGGUUUGCCUAAUGCCUAGACUGCGCACUUACAGACAGAACGAGGCAGAAACAUCAUUCGGAAUGGCAGUCUGGCCUUCUUUGCCUUCAUCUCCUCAGGCCCACAUUGCCACCUUUGCUUGCUGGUACCAUACAUAUUUUUCUCUGUGACCCUUUGACUUUUUAGGGUUGUUUGUUUGAAGGGAUUUGAGACCCAAUUAAAGCAAUUUACAGAAUUAGUAUAGGCCCCAAACCUAAGAAAUCAAAUCACAAUUGUAAAUAGUUAUGUUAAAUAUACUGUGCCUUAGCAUGAAAAGGUGCUUGUUACCAAGGCUGGCAUCCCAAGUUCUAUCCCCAGAACACACUUAGGGGACUGAGAGAACCAACCCCUGAAAGUUCUCCCCUGACAUUUACACAUGGACUGUGACACACAGACACAUGGACACAACACAUACACACACACUAAAUGAAUAAAUAAAUGUAAUAAAAAUAAAAAUAAAGGCAUACUGUGAGCUACAAAUAAUACAGAUUGAAAGCUGGUGGUUUUACAAUUUAAUUGUUGGGAGCUGGAGAGAUCACUCAGUGGUUAAGAGCACUGGCUGCUCAUCCAGAGGAUCUAAGUUAGGGUCUUAGCUCCCAUAUCAUAAGGGCUUUGAACUGCUGCCAACUCCAGGUCCAGGAGAUCUGAUGCCCUCUUUUGGCAUCUGAGGACACUUGUACACAUAUGGGGCACCCCCCCAAAAAAUACACAUACAUAAUUAUUAAAAUAAAAUAAAUCAUUUAAAAAUUGUCUUGUGAGAGCUGGGCCUGGGGGUACAUGCCUUAAAUCCCAGCACUCAGGAGGCAGGGGAAAGAGGAUCUCUGAGUUCAAGGCCAGUCUAUCCAGGAUAGCCAGGGCUACAUAGAGAAUCCCAGUUUCAGAAAAAUAAAAAGUCUUGCAAGAAAGAAGGCAUUUGGUUGUAUACACCUGACUCGGCACAGGAUGAUCCCCAAACCUAUGUUCCUCCUACUUCUCCAUACCCCCUUCUUUAGCUACUUGAUGGCUUUUCAUCAUCCUGGAUGCAGAACAGCUACAGGUAUCACAUUAGAACUCCAGGCAAGAAGAGUCAAGAGCUUUACAGCACCCACUAUAUCCGUCCAUUUUGCUGGGACAGUGAAAGUCCAUUACAAAAUAGCCUGGGAAACAACCUGCAAUCAUCUUCAAGUAAAGCCAGUAAAACCUAGCUUUGGUUUCAAAUUUGGAGUUUGUUCACCCACUCCCCUUUCUUUGGCAUGUCUGAAAGAUGGAGGAGAUGUCUAAAGACAAGAGAGAAAGCACUAUCCCAUGUACGAGAUGUAUGUCGGUCUAGUUCAAUCAAUCUCCUGUCUGGUGACAACCAACAGCUAUGCAUUUGAAGUCACCCAUGUUGAGCUUGCCUGAUUUCCAACACAGGUCUCAGGACAGAUCAGAUCGUUUCAGAAUCAAGGGCUGGGGCAACAGUGCCAAGGGCAGGUGUAAGUGGCUGGAAGGUCAGUCUGCCUAAUAAAUCACUUUAGGGCAGCAAAAAAGUGAAAUCAGUUUCCUAUGUAGAAAUCAAAGUUGACCUCAUUGUCUAUGACUCGGUCCAGUGCUUGGAUAGGGGAUUUUCCAUACCUGCUUUAACAGGUAUGCAUAACCACAGUGUGGAGGAGGGAAGUGGGCACAAAGUCUCACCCCUGGACAAGAAGAUACUCACAACUGAUAGCUGCUGGAAGGAGGAAAACCAGUUUUCUUCAGUGGAGUGGCACCGGGUAUUUAAACUCCACUUCCUCACACUUAGGAGAGCACUGGCCAACAUGA
ensembl:lncRNA